AACAAACGCUGGCGGCGUGCCUAACACAUGCAAGUCGUGCGAGAAAGUCCCCUUCGGGGGGCGAGUAAAGCAGCGAAAGGGUGAGUAACACGUGGGUAACCUGCCCCUUGGACCGGGAUAACCCGCCGAAAGGUGGGUUAAUACCGGAUAAGACCACGCGGACACAAGUCCGAGCGGUAAAAGAUGGCCUCUGCUUGCAAGCUAUCACCGAGGGAUGGGCCCGCGGCCUAUUAGCUAGUUGGUAGGGUAACGGCCUACCAAGGCUAUGAUGGGUAGCCGGCCUGGGGGGGUGGACGGCCACACUGGAACUGAGACACGGUCCAGACUCCUACGGGAGGCAGCAGUGGGGAAUAUUGCACAAUGGGCGAAAGCCUGAUGCAGCAACGCCGCGUGAGUGAUGAAGGCCUUCGGGUUGUAAAGCUCUGUCUUUUGGGACGAUAAUGACGGUACCAAAGGAGGAAGCCACGGCUAACUACGUGCCAGCCGCCGCCGUAAGAC
rnacentral:rRNA from 1 species